rnacentral:rRNA from 1 species
CCUACGGGUGGCAGCAGUGGGGAAUAUUGCGCAAUGGGCGAAAGCCUGACGCAGCGACGCCGCGUGAGGGAUGAAGGUCUUCGGAUCGUAAACCUCUGUCAGCAGGGAAGAACGGUCACUGUGCUAAUCAGCAGUGAAUUGACGGUACCUGCAAAGGAAGAACCGGCUAACUCCGUGCCAGCAGCCGCGGUAAUACGGAGGGUGCGAGCGUUAAUCGGAAUUACUGGGCGUAAAGCGCUCGUAGGCGGGAUGGCAAGUCAAGGGUGAAAUCCCCGCGCUAAACGUGGGAACUGCAUUUGAAACUGGCAAACUGGAGUGUGUGAGAGGAUAGGGGAAUUCCAGGUGUAGGAGUGAAAUCCGUAGAUAUAUGGAGGAACAUCAGUGGCGAAGGCGAAUAUCUGGAACAUAACUGACGCUGAGGAGCGAAAGCGUGGGUAGCAAACAGGAUUAGAUACCCUAGUAGUC